GCUCGGUCGUAUCACAAGGACAGCCAGGGAAACGUCUUUGCUAUUGUAAAAGAAUACUUGCUCAAUUAGAAAAUAAGUGUACAAAACAUGGGGGGGGGUGCCAUGUGGGAACAUUACCAUCUUUACGUGUAGAUGUACUUACUUUUAUUUAUCUCUGUAUCUUCUUAUCUAUCACUGUAUGAGUGUCUACUGAGCUCUUGGAAUAUUCGCGGGCGUCCUGACGUCUCUCCACCCACGCACGGCUUCAUUGCCAUGAAACUACUCGCCUCCUAAAUUGUGUCGCCUUUGAGACGUGUGGCGGCGGCCGAGUCCCGCCUCGCUGGGCGCGGCCCCUCCGCUUAGGGAAAGCACUCUUCUCCCCGGGCCGCGCCGGCGGUAACCGCGGCCUCGGACGCCAGCACCGGCCUCGCCGCCCGGGAACUUUCUCCCGUUGCCUGUUUGCUGGACUGUUUCUCACUGAUCUGAAUAGUUCGAAUAUAGAGGCUUGUGUUCAUCCUUACAUCUCUCCAAAGUUUGCAGGGUGCCUGGCACAUAGUAAGUAUUCAAUAAAUGUUUGCUCUAUGAAUUGCAACAUUUGUAAGAAAAUUCAAAUAAUUCAGAUGCAGAAAACAUCGAGGCUGAAUGCACUAUCAGAUCAUGGUGUCCAAUUUCAUUUCAUAAGAGGAAGACUGUGACCCACAGCCCAGUCCUUGAUUUACCCAAGGCCUCCCAGGGGGUAAGGUCAGAUCCUUGGUGGUCCCCAGGGUUCCUUUCCUUGUUUCUCAGGAUGCUGCCUGCCCU
rnacentral:lncRNA from 1 species